UCGUAAUUUACCACAACAUGAAAUUGGCUUCAAUAUUGAUGUACCUUUUAUGCUUCUUAGUUAGAAAUAUGAACCAAUAUUGAGGUUGUGUAAUGGGACAUGGUAGCUUUUUUGAAAAGUUUUAUUUGAAAAGGAUGGGACAUGGUAGCUCAUCACUAGACUUGACAACAUAGUCCUCGAGGGAAAAAUCAUCACUGAAACUAAUAGAUGAUAGUGUAUGAGUAUUCCUCGGAUUGUCUUGACUUCCCCCACUUUGGAAUGAUUUAAUAUACUGUUGUUUUUUAUUAAUUGUUUUUGAAAUAGCUAACCACUCAUUUCAAGUGAUUAAUAUACUGUUGUUCAUCUUCUUAGUUCAUAGUUUCCUUUUCCUCUUGUAGAAAAAGGUAUCGUCUUUCUGUCGUGGUUCUGAUGUUAUAACCAUGCUUGCUAUAGUGAUUCUGAUUUUACGACCAUGCUUUCCUUAUUUCACUACGUCCUCUAUCGUUGUAUAGUUGUCUACUGCUUGUACUCUGUUUAUCUCUACCCAUGAGUUCUACCUAUACCACAGUUACGGUGCCUAUCUAUGGACUAUUGAUUUUGCUAAUUGACAGGUAUUCCUCUACUCACACGGACUUUGUCAAGCAACUACGAGCUUCAACCGGAAAAUCAAGGGAAGGCUGUCAGCUUUGCUGCACAAAUAAGCUAAAUAUCGACCUUAUUUUGUGCAGGCCUCAAUUUCCGAGUUCAAUUUCUGAGUUUAACUGUGGCAUAUACUUCAUCUAUAUAAAUAUAUAGGUUACUUUUGACUUUUCUAUGUCAUCUUUAUUUUCAUAUGUCAAGAUAGUAAAAUAUGGAAAAAAUAACAAGCUUAUUCGGUUAUGUUGGUGCUG
rnacentral:lncRNA from 1 species